rnacentral:rRNA from 1 species
UACGUAGGUGGCAAGCGUUGUCCGGAAUUAUUGGGCGUAAAGCGCGCGCAGGCGGUCCUUUAAGUCUGAUGUGAAAGCCCACGGCUCAACCGUGGAGGGUCAUUGGAAACUGGGGGACUUGAGUACAGAAGAGAAGAGUGGAAUUCCACGUGUAGCGGUGAAAUGCGUAGAUAUCAGGAGGAACACCUGUGGCGAAAGCAGGCUUCUGGUCCAUCACUGACGCUGAUCUGCGAAAGCUAGGGGAGCAAACAGG